ACGCUAGCGGCAGGCCUAACACAUGCAAGUCGAGGGGCAGCGGGGAUAAGCUUGCUUAUCUGCCGGCGACCGGCGCACGGGUGCGUAACGCGUAUAGAAUCUGCCUUGUACUAGGGAAUAGCCCAGAGAAAUUUGGAUUAAUGCCCUAUAGUAUAUCGUUAUGGCAUCAUAAUGAUAUUAAAGGUUACGGUACAAGAUGACUAUGCGUCCCAUUAGUUAGUUGGUGAGGUAACGGCUCACCAAGACUGCGAUGGGUAGGGGCCCUGAGAGGGGGAUCCCCCACACUGGUACUGAGACACGGACCAGACUCCUACGGGAGGCAGCAGUGAGGAAUAUUGGACAAUGGGCGGGAGCCUGAUCCAGCCAUGCCGCGUGCAGGAAGACGGUCCUAUGGAUUGUAAACUGCUUUUAUACGGGAAGAACAAGGGGCACGUGUGCCCUUCUGACGGUACCGUAAGAAUAAGGAUCGGCUAACUCCGUGCCAGCAGCCGCGGGUA
rnacentral:rRNA from 1 species